AUUGCAUAACUCUUGAUAAAAAAUAAGAAGCCUUGUUUUCGAGUGUUUAUUGGUCUCGACUUCGCCUCGGAUCAACAAAAUUCACACGAAAUCUCUAAUUUUCAUCUUUUUAUCCCUAGUCAUGUAAUAGAAAAUUUUGUUAACAGUG